CGGGGUGUGGCGCAGCUUGGCUAGCGCGCUUGAUUUGGGAUCAAGAGGUCGCAGGUUCGAAUCCUGUCACCCCGA
rfam:Clostridiales bacterium GWE2_32_10 gwe2_scaffold_1020, whole genome shotgun sequence.